AGCAGUCGCCGCGGUAAUACGGAGGGUGCAAGCGUUAAUCGGAAUUACUGGGCGUAAAGCGCACGCAGGCGGUCUGACAAGUCAGAUGUGAAAUCCCCGGGCUUAACCUGGGAACUGCAUUUGAAACUGUCAGGCUGGAGUCUUGUAGAGGGGGGUGGAAUUCCAGGUGUAGCGGUGAAAUGCGUAGAGAUCUGGAGGAAUACCGGUGGCGAAGGCGGCCCCCUGGACAAAGACUGACGCUCAGGUGCGAAAGCGUGGGGAGCAAACAGGAUUAGAGACCCCUGUAGUCCCUGUCUCUUAUAC
rnacentral:rRNA from 1 species